rnacentral:rRNA from 1 species
UACGGAGGGUGCAAGCGUUAUCCGGAUUCACUGGGUUUAAAGGGUGCGUAGGCGGGCAGGUAAGUCAGUGGUGAAAUCUCCGGGCUUAACCCGGAAACUGCCGUUGAUACUAUCUGUCUUGAAUAUUGUGGAGGUAAGCGGAAUAUGUCAUGUAGCGGUGAAAUGCUUAGAUAUGACAUAGAACACCAAUUGCGAAGGCAGCUUACUACACAGUUAUUGACGCUGAGGCAACGAAAGCGUGGGGAUCAAACAGG